rnacentral:rRNA from 1 species
CCAAUAGCGUAUAUUAAAGUUGUUGCAGUUAAAAAGCUCGUAGUUGAACUUCGGGGUCUACCCAUUGGUCAGGCUUAAUUGUCUGCACUGGUGAGAUGGAUCUCUACCUUCUGAGGAACUUUCAUGCCAUUUAUUUGUUGUGGUUGGAAAUCAGGACUGUUACUUUGAAAAAAUUAGAGUGUUUAAAGCAGACUAUCGUCUGAAUACAUUAGCAUGGAAUAAUGAAAUAGGACGGACUGAUUCUAUUUCGUUGGUUUCUAGGAUCACCGUAAUGAUUAAUAGGGAUAGUUGGGGGCAUUAGUAUUCAAUUGUCAGAGGUGAAAUUCUUGGAUUUAUUGAAGACUAACUACUGCGAAAGCAUUUGCCAAGGAUGUUUUCAUUAAUCAAGAACGAAAGUUAGGGGAUCGAAGACGAUCAGAUACCGUCGUAGUCUUAACCAUAAACUAUGCCGACUAGGGAUCGGACGAAGUUAAUUUUAUAAUGACGCGUUCGGCACCUUACG